UUUCCGUAGGUGAACCUGCGGAGGAUCAUUGUCGAAACCUGCCCAAAGCAGAACGACCCGUGAACAGUCAAAACACUUCGUUCCUCGGGAGAGCAUGCAUGCAGGAGACUGUUGCAUUGCAUCUCAUUGUGCGUGUCGUACAUGUUCCCCCUCGACAAGCCUUCGGGUGUUGGGGGUGGUGCGCGGCGAUUGCGUGCUUCAACCGAACAACGACCAUCGGCGCGGUUUGCGCCAAGGAUUACUAGCGGAAUGGAUGAGCUUCUCGUUAGCAUGACCCUAUAUAUGGUGUGAUGUUGCGUGAUCUCGUCGCGUCUCCGAUCAUUUGUACGACUCUCGGCAACGGAUAUCUCGGCUCUCGCAUCGAUGAAGAACGUAGCGAAAUGCGAUACUUGGUGUGAAUUGCAGAAUCCCGUGAACCAUCGAGUCUUUGAACGCAAGUUGCGCCCGAGGCCGUCAGGUCGAGGGCACGCCUGCCUGGGCGUCACGCCUCACGUCGCUCUCAAACAACCGUCUCUGGCGGUUCGGUUGAGAUGCGGAUAUUGGCCACCCGCUCUUUGAUAGUGCGGUUGGCUUAAGAGCGGCCUUGGCGGUGCAGGGCACGAUUAGUUGUGGAUGGUAAACUACAUUUCGGUGAUCGUGUCCCUAAAGACCGUCUUUUGGACCUUACCCGACCCAUUUUUAUGGCAUUUGGAUUGCGACCCCAGGUCAGGCGGGCCACCC
rnacentral:rRNA from 1 species